CGGGGCUUAGCGCAGUUGGUAGCGCACACGUCUGGGGGGCGCGAGGUCGCUGGUUCGAGUCCAGUAGCCCCGA
rnacentral:tRNA from 1 species